AUGAUAAACUCUAACUGCAAGUUGCCUUUUGUUCCACUGAGAAAGGCUCCAUUAGGCAGCGGAGUGUGGGAAAACAAAAGCGCGACGCGCCCAGGCCGAGCCCGCGGCUGCGCGCGGGGCCGGGCGGGCUCAGCCCCUCAGCGCUGGCNCAGCGCUGGCGCAGCUCCCCUCACGUACGGCCGCGGUCCCGCGCCAGCGCAGCUCGGCUCGGCUGCCACAGCACUUGUGCAAUUACGGCCUUCCCAGAAGGAUUCCUUUGCACUUGUACAGGCAGCGAAGAGGAGAAAAAUAAGCCCGCCCAAAGGAGGAGAUGCAGGGGAGGAAACAAAAUAGACAAGAUGUGCUACUAGAAAAUAUAAAAGGUCAACAGCAUCAAACUCAGCGCAGCCAGACCACAGUAUCAUUGUUGUAUUAGGAUGUGCUAUAGGAAAAGACUUCAAGAACAUCCAUGAAAUUCUUAGGAGAAAAAGAAAUUGUGGUGUUUGGUAUUAUGUAUUUUCUAAAUAAAGCAAUAGUCUCAGGAAACA
rnacentral:lncRNA from 1 species